UCCACCGAUUGACUAAGGUUUCCAGAGGAAGGCUCGUCCGCUCUGGGUUAGUCGGGUCCUAAGCUGAGGCCGACAGGCGUAGGCGAUGGAUAACAGGUUGAUAUUCCUGUACCACCUAUAAUCGUUUUAAUCGAUGGGGGGACGCAGUAGGAUAGGCGAAGCGUGCGAUUGGAUUGCACGUCUAAGCAGUAAGGCUGAGUAUUAGGCAAAUCCGGUACUCGUUAAGGCUGAGCUGUGAUGGGGAGAAGACAUUGUGUCUUCGAGUCGUUGAUUUCACACUGCCGAGAAAAGCCUCUAGAUAGAAAAUAGGUGCCCGUACCGCAAACCGACACAGGUAGUCAAGAUGAGAAUUCUAAGGUGAGCGAGCGAACUCUCGUUAAGGAACUCGGCAAAAUGACCCCGUAACUUCGGGAGAAGGGGUGCUCUUUAGGGUUAACGCCCAGAAGAGCCGCAGUGAAUAGGCCCAAGCGACUGUUUAUCAAAAACACAGGUCUCUGCUAAACCGUAAGGUGAUGUAUAGGGGCUGACGCCUGCCCGGUGCUGGAAGGUUAAGAGGAGUGGUUAGCUUCUGCGAAGCUACGAAUCGAAGCCCCAGUAAACGGCGGCCGUAACUAUAACGGUCCUAAGGUAGCGAAAUUCCUUGUCGGGUAAGUUCCGACCCGCACGAAAGGCGUAACGAUUUGGGCACUGUCUCAACGAGAGACUCGGUGAAAUCAUAGUACCUGUGAAGAUGCAGGUUACCCGCGACAGGACGGAAAGACCCCGUGGAGCUUUACUGUAGCCUGAUAUUGAAAUUCGGCACAGCUUGUACAGGAUAGGUAGGAGCCUUUGAAACGUGAGCGCUAGCUUACGUGGAGGCGCUGGUGGGAUACUACCCUAGCUGUGUUGGCUUUCUAACCCGCACCACUUAUCGUGGUGGGAGACAGUGUCAGGCGGGCAGUUUGACUGGGGCGGUCGCCUCCUAAAAGGUAACGGAGGCGCUCAAAGGUUCCCUCAGAAUGGUUGGAAAUCAUUCAUAGAGUGUAAAGGCAUAAGGGAGCUUGACUGCGAGACCUACAAGUCGAGCAGGGUCGAAAGACGGACUUAGUGAUCCGGUGGUUCCGCAUGGAAGGGCCAUCGCUCAACGGAUAAAAGCUACCCCGGGGAUAACAGGCUUAUCUCCCCCAAGAGUUCACAUCGACGGGGAGGUUUGGCACCUCGAUGUCGGCUCAUCGCAUCCUGGGGCUGUAGUCGGUCCCAAGGGUUGGGCUGUUCGCCCAUUAAAGCGGUACGCGAGCUGGGUUCAGAACGUCGUGAGACAGUUCGGUCCCUAUCCGUCGUGGGCGUAGGAAAUUUGAGAGGAGCUGUCCUUAGUACGAGAGGACCGGGAUGGACAUACCUCUGGUGUACCAGUUGUCGUGCCAACGGCAUAGCUGGGUAGCUAUGUGUGGACGGGAUAAGUGCUGAAAGCAUCUAAGCAUGAAGCCCCCCUCAAGAUGAGAUUUCCCAACUUCGGUUAUAAGAUCCCUCAAAGAUGAUGAGGUUAAUAGGUUCGAGGUGGAAGCAUGGUGACAUGUGGAGCUGACGAAUACUAAUCGAUCGAAGACUUAAUCAA
rnacentral:rRNA from 1 species